rnacentral:rRNA from 1 species
AGAGUUUGACCCUGGCUCAGGAUGAACGCUAGCGAAAUGCCUAACACAUGCAAGUCGAACGGAUCUUGCGUCGUAGCAAUACGUAGUAAGAUUAGUGGCAAACGAGCGAGUAACGCGUGCUUAACCUGCCCCGAAGAUGGGAAUAACUGCAGAGAUGUAGCUAAUUCCCAAUAUGCUCACGAUGGUGAAAUUCCGAUGUGAGGAAAGAUUUAUCGCUUCGGGAGGGGGGUGCGUCCUAUCAGGUAGUUGGUAAGGUAAUGGCUUACCAAGCCUAUGACGGGUAACCGGUCUGAGAUGAUGUCCGGUCGCGAUGGGACUGAGAUACGGCCCAAACUCCUACGGGAGGCAGCAGCUAAGAAUAUUCCGCAAUGGACGAAAGUCUGACGGAGCGACGCCGUGUGAAUGAAGAAGGCCGAAAGGUUGUAAAAUUCUUUUGCAGAUGAAGAAUAAACAUAGGAGGGAAUGCCUAUGAGAUGACGGUAAUCAUGCGAAUAAGCCCCGGCUAAUUACGUGCCAGCAGCCGCGGUAACACGUAAGGGGCGAGCGUUGUUCGGAAUUAUUGGGCGUAAAGGGCAUGUAGGCGGUUAUGUAAGCCUGAUGUGAAAUCCUGGGGCUUAACCCUAGAAUAGCAUUGGGUACUGUGUAACUUGAAUUACGGAAGGGAAACUGGAAUUCCAAGUGUAGGGGUGGAAUCUGUAGAUAUUUGGAAGAACACCGGUGGCGAAGGCGGGUUUCUGGCCGAUGAUUGACGCUGAUAUACGAAGGUGCGGGGAGCAAACAGGAUUAGAUACCCUGGUAGUCCGCACAGUAAACGAUGUACACUAGGUGUUGGGGCAAGAGCUUCAGUGCCUAAGCAAACGCAAUAAGUGUACCG